GAAAAGGACUAACAUAAUUCUAUAACAGGAA
rnacentral:piRNA from 1 species